rnacentral:lncRNA from 1 species
UUUGGUAUAUGCCUUUAUCUAUGAGAUUGGCCAUUGAUCAUUUUUAUAAUUAUCUUUUGCUUUCAUGAAUUUUGUGGGCACUUAUAUUAAAUUAUACGACAUUACGUCACAUAAUUCAUUUGUUGUAUGAAUUUUAUAUGAUCCUUAGUUCACAUGUCAAAGAAUUUCUUCUGUUCUUAAAUCAUAUAACUUAAUAAGUUUCUCUCCAUACUCAAUAAGAGAAAUUCCGUACCAAUAAAAGCAUAGCAAACAUUGAGUUGGGGAUGUAAUUCACGAGAAUCCAAUAAAUUUGACACACUAACAUUACCUUGAAAAUGUCUUAGCUCGUGCAUUGCACGGACAAAGACUAGUAUAACUAAAAGGUUGCAUAAAUUGUAUUGUAAAAUUCUACCUUGUUUUCCCUUUUACUUUUGAGUCACAUUCCACGACAUUUUAUCCCACAAGUGUGCUUCAUAUCUAAUAAAAUGAAAAUUAGGUGAAAAUCUUGAGUUAGAGGUUGAUUUUUGAGAAUAUGUGUUUAAUAAGGGGCAUUACACUAAUUAUUGCAUAGAAAAAUGAAAAAAGAAAAAAAAAUAGUGUCUUGUUGUGAAGCUUCCCUUCGUAGCGUUUAUGACUCGAGUAAUUAAGCAUCUAAGGGUAUCUACAAACUUAGUGCCUUAAAGUCAUCUGAUCUGGGAGUUAUCGGUUAAAAGCUCGCUAUAUGGGUCAUUUAGAAAAUUUAAUGAAGAAAAAUAUGCACAUAAGAUAUGGAAAAACAAAAAAAAAGGGGAAAAAAUAUCUAUAAAAAAAAAAGAUUGUUGCAUGUCUUGAUUAAGUCUCAAACGCUUAUCUAAGAAAAUUAGAUUUUAACAAGAGAUUAUUAGCCUGGUUAAUUCUUAAAGGUCAAAGCAAUAAAAAUAAAUAAAAAUAAGGAGAAUCGUUAUUUGUUGAUAUGUUGAUCUGCAAUUAGUAAGAUCUAACCAAACUAGAGUGUGUGAGGAAUAGUAUAUAAAUUCAACUUUCGAUCACACUUUGGAAAGAGAGUUAAAUAAAUAAGUUUGGGGUGUGAAUUUCUCAUGAGAGGAGAAAGGAUAAAGUUGAUUAUUAAAGGUCAUGAUUUGAAUCACUUUAUGAAUUGAUGAUGCUUGAUGUGAAUUUUCACACAUACACGUCAAUUUUAUAUUGAAUAAGUAGAAAUUUUUAGCAUUGUGAUUUUGUAACAGUUCAUAGUCUUAAUACAUAUAUUCCAAUCUUGAGACCAAAGACAAAUUAUCUAACCAUAUGUGUUAAAAAAAAUUUGUUUAAGUUAGAUUAUAAUUUUGUUUAAGGACAAACAAAUGUUCGAGCUUGGGGGUGUUUGAUAAGUGUAUUUUAUACACUUAUUUAGACAAUUAAAUUAGGGUAUUUGUUUGUAAUUUGAAUGAGUUAUAGUCUAAUUUCAUGUUAAUUAUGUUGUUAGGUUGAAAUCAAUGCAAAUUUGUGGUUUUGGAAGAAAGGAACGAAAAACGUGUGAAAAUGAAGGAAUUUCAAAGUUUGAAGACCAAAGUGUAAACAUCCAAUAAUUGAUUCGAAUCACAAAACGAUGAUUGAAAAUCAUAUGAAAUCAAUGGGACACAGUUGGAGGUUAAAGGAAUGAAAUAGAUUUGAAGCAUUUUCGCAAAUCAAUUUCUAGUCGAAAAAGUUAUGCUCCAGAUUUUAAGUCUCAAUUUGAGACCCAUUUUUCGAGUAGCAAACAAUCGAAUUGGAAAAUUUGUAUCUCAUGAAGAAUUGUAGGUCUUUAAGUCGACUUUUCAACAUACUUUGAAUCACCUCAAUCGAAUUCAAAAUAGAAAAUUAUGAUCAAAUACCGAGAGCUGUUCAAGGACGACGCGUGAAGCAGCGGCGCGCAUGUGGCAAGCAAUGGCACGCGCACCACCUCUUUUUCUCCAACCUGGGAGAAAAAU